GCCCAUUCACUACUUGGAUAGCAGUCGGUCGCACAGGCAAGGAGGUGCUCACACACUAUCCUACGUAUGGCCCAGCAUCAGUUUUGUUGAAAAUCUUGUUCUUUUAUAUGCUAAAAUUGGUGUUAAACGAAAAUGCAAUUCGACGUAUUGCUGUUCUUGUGUCUAGGUGUGGUAUUUUGUCAAGAAGACGGCAGUACAACUUUACCGCGAGAUGAAUUCAAAUGUUCCCUACCUGAUGUUAGAAGCCUUGACGACAAUUUGGACGUUUUAAGAUUUCAGGCCGAUUUUUCGAAAAUAUCUGAGGUCAAGUUUCCAGGGGUCAUAGGUCCACUGAAUGAACGUUUGAUUUGUAAGAUAAAAUGUAUAGAUGGCAACUGGGUUGGCCCACUGUGCUCAGAAACACCAGAUGGUAGAUUCCAACCUGUGCUCAGAGAAUGCCUGUAUAAAAAUGAUCAUUCAUUACUAGCCAUUUCUUUUAAAAAUUCCUCUAUUGAUAAGGAGACUCACUUCCCCCAUGGUUCAUUGAUCAUAGCGCGCUGUAAGCAGUUUGGGUUGUACAAGAUGAAAGGUGACAGUACUCUGCAUUGUGAGAAUGGCGAAUGGACACCCAAGUUUCCAGAAUGCGUACCCACUACAGUCAUCACCAACUUCACUGGCCAUACGGGUUGGGGACUUCACAAGUUUUCAGAGUUGUGAACCUCCUUUGAACUGACACAUGGAAAUGGGAAGAAAAGCGAUUAAACAAGAAAAGGGGAUGCGCCACCUACAAUCCAGUACACGGUAGUAAGUGGGUCAGCGGUAGUGGAGCCGUCAGGUGAGCUUCUCGUCUAUCCGGACGCCACGCUUCGGCUCGACUGCGUGUCUGCGCGCGCGCUCGGAGACCCU